rnacentral:rRNA from 1 species
AGCGAACGCUGGCGGCAGGCUUAACACAUGCAAGUCGAGCGGGCCCUUCGGGGUCAGCGGCAGACGGGUGAGUAACACGUGGGAACGUACCCUUUGGUUCGGAAUAACGCUGGGAAACUAGCGCUAAUACCGGAUACGCCCUUUUGGGGAAAGGCUUGCUGCCGAAGGAUUGGCCCGCGUCUGAUUAGCUAGUUGGUGGGGUAAUGGCCUACCAAGGCGACGAUCAGUAGCUGGUCUGAGAGGAUGAUCAGCCACACUGGGACUGAGACACGGCCCAGACUCCUACGGGAGGCAGCAGUGGGGAAUAUUGGACAAUGGGCGCAAGCCUGAUCCAGCCAUGCCGCGUGAGUGAUGAAGGCCUUAGGGUUGUAAAGCUCUUUUGUCCGGGACGAUAAUGACGGUACCGGAAGAAUAAGCCCCGGCUAACUUCGUG